AAUAUAUAGGACAUACACCAACAGUCCAUAAAAUAUGCAGAAAGACCAUAAUACUAUUCUGAUAGUCGAAUUGAACUCCUUGUUCGGUUGCCGUUCUCUGCUCUUUUCCCGUGGUGUCUGAAUAUGAAUUGCAAAAUAAGAUAAACGCAAAUAUCGAAUAGAAAUAUUUUGAUAUAAUCGAUGAAGUUUAUUGUUAAAGUAUAUAAUUUCCCAUAUUAUAUACGAUAAUGAUAGUAAUCGUGGCUAUACCACUGACUAUAUGUUCUCGGUUGACCUAUUCUACUUUGACGAAGUGACGGAAAUCAUGGGAAGGAUAGGUACACGUCCCUUGUAUACCCCUUCCACUGAUGGAUUUAGUAGUAGAGGAUGCGUUAAGCGAGACACUGUUUACUUAUUCUCAUUCUGUCAACUACCCAGAAUAGUUUUUUAUUUUAUGUGCUUUUCAGCGAAAUCAUAUUUUUUAAAAUUUUCAUUUAUAUUAUUGUUACGUGGGAUUUAUUUCAAAGAGUAUUUCCAUUUAAAUUCUAAAAUACCAAAAUAUCAACGCGUGGAUAUUGUAGCUGCACAAAAUUGAAAAUUUACUUCAUUUAAAAUAAUUAGUGAAUUAAUUGAGGACAUAAUUUCACUGUUAUUGGGAAACUAAAGUCCUUACCUUCUAACUUUUUAUAUAUGCAAAUGUAUUAGUACAAUGUGAGAAGCUAUAUUGGUAUUAUCAUUUAAAAUAGGAAAAUUCUUGUCUUCUUUAGUAUACUAAAACGUCCAUGGACUAAACAGGAUUCUAAUUGAAGAAACAUGUAAGUUUAACUAUCGUUACAGGUCUUCAAAUUUCGCUCUUUUCAUCCACAAAGAUCUAUUUUCUUCAAUUUUCCCUUCAAAAAUCAAGCAAGCAACUUCUACAUAGACUCGACCACUCUACUGGCCAAUCUCCUUUCCACUUACAACCUUUUACCAAACAUCAUUUUUCACAUUUUCAGAAAUCAAGUCCGUGAACUCUCAAGGAUACAUGUAAUCCAACAAAUGCAACCUUCUUUCAUCAAGAUCCAAUUCACUCUUCCGUUGUAUCUUCAUCUUCGCCUACACACUUUCGACCAGGUAGACUCGUCCUUGGCGGAAGGGUGGUAUCGGCCAUGCGGAAACGAGCCACGUGUCGUUAAGCAGCGCGUGCUCGUGAUACAUGGUUCCGCGAAACUCGGUCGCCCGGAGACCGAGGCUCGAAGGGCGUAGGUUGGCCGGAUUUCGCUUGGAGGGUCCGAUUGUACUCGGUGUCUCGUAAUUAGUGGGGUGCGUAGCAACGCGUGCUUCACCGUCAUUACGUCACAAACCUCGAUACAGACAUGGAUCACGAUUCCUUUGCGAGACACGUUGUGUGCUCGAGCUCGGUAUAAUGACGUCACUUCGUUCAUUUUGCCCGGAUCUUCUCUUCCAUUCUGUUGAUUCGGUCCGACGUCGAGCUCUCACACCUUCGAACUCGAUUCGUUCUGCCAGACCUUAUUACGUGCCGUGUCCUCACGGACUUUGCCUCGCAACUCGGAACACCAAAGUAUGCAUGUUUCCUUGAGAUUGAAGCCGGGGAUGAACCCUCGUUUUUGUCAGGAAUUUCUCGUGGAUUUUCUCUGCUCGUCUCUUGGAUUGCAUUCCCUUCGAGGUGGAAUUUGAAUGAAACGAAUAUCGCUGCUAAGUUUGUUUCGGUUUCCAGGUGAUUUUGAUGUUUCCAAAGAAAUAUAUAAGGACUUGGUGAUACGCAGUUCAUUGCUGAUAGUUUCUAAUUUUGGAGAAUUUGAUAGGAAUUAUUGACAGGAAUGAAAUGGAAUUUAUUUGGGGAUUGCGUCAAAUGCUAAAUAUUAAACUUAAAGCGAAGGACACUUAAGAUGAAAUUACAAAAACUUACUCUAAUCAAAUGUAUUUCAUUCUAUCUCUUAUAGGAGAUUUUAUAUAAGUAGUAUAUGUAAUAUAUUAUUUCAAUGUGUUUUCUAGGAAGAUUAUUUUUUAAUUUAGUGCUAUUGAAUAUUUGAAAUCAAACAACGAUUAUUAUACGAACAUAAGAGGUUUCAUACUGUUUCACAAGUUUCUUGCCAGUAAUAGUUGUUUCAGAUAUGUACUGUUUCUUUGAAUACAGAGAGUAUGCACAUCAUAUCUCGUUGGAGAUUAUUUUAUGUUUUAAAAUCGGAGACUGCUUUUAUUCGGCAAUUAAAUGCUUUAAUUUUCUUAUCUUAUCAUACGGAAUUCUAUGAUUAUAUUUUUUAAAUCUCACAGAAACAUAUGAUUCCUGAAUCGCCUGCUUAUCUUAAUGAGUAUUAUUAUCAUCUAUCUAGAUCCAACAAUUUUGUCAAAUUUGAGGAAAUAGAAGUAUUAUGAUAACGUAUCUCUUUUAUAAUCUUUUCUAUGUAUGUAAAUAUAAUUAUAAUAAAAUUUUAAUGCAUUUCUGCUACCUUGAUAAAACAGUACAUAAAUUAGUUUAUUUACUUUUCUCAAUGAUGCGAUUAUGUAACUGCUAUAGAUUACUUUACUGUUCGGUCUUUCAUGAAUUAAACAACCGAAUAUUACAAAACGCAAACACGUUUCCGCGGCAAAACGAAGCUAUACAUACGCUUAAGCCCGGAUACACGCAACCACUUUCGGAUAAUUCAAUAAUCCAGCGUAUUGGCAGGAUAACAGGUCCGUGCGUGUUAUCGUAUCGGCGCUGCAACUUGAUUACGUCUCAUAAUAAAUUGAAACCCUCAUUUCUAGGAAAGAAAGAGCGACGGUAUCUGUAAUUUUUGCCCACAAGUAAGAAAUCAAUACUCUGAUACGGUUAUAAAUCCACAAGAUGGCGACAGAACGCGCGUAUCGUGUUUGAUCUUUCGCGCUCGAAAGAGGACAGGGUGGCCGAAGAGGUAAAUCGUUUCGAAGAACAAAUAAAAACGCGAGAUCGUCGCGCACGCCGAUAGAUAGCUUAUCUUCGAUGCCGUAAAAGAUCCAGGAAUGUAACGCGGCACGGAUUCAAUUUUACCACAAACGGCCGCGAUUCCGUGAAAUUACCGUCCCGAAUUCGAAAGAGCGGAACUCAAUCGCGUAAGAAAAAAAAAAGUUCGUUGAAUUGAAUUUCGAACUGGAAAUUAACCCUGUAAAACGGCGAAGAAAAUAAAGAAAAAAUUCUUGUUCUCACCUUUUGUUCCUGUAAUUUAAGAUUGGCUAAUUUAGGACAGGUCAGUGGGAAAAUGAAACGUACUCGCGGAUCUUAAUAAUACACAAAUUUUAUUUUAUUCAUUUUUUUUUUCUUCCCGCAGAAUCGAGGAAAUCAUUUGUUGAGAGAACAAAACCACUGCAAUACGAAUAGCAGUUACAAGUAAAUAUGUACAAUAAUAUAAGUGGUUGCCUUUCUUUCUUUAUUUUUUUUUUUUUUUGUGUUUUUGCUUUAUCAUCGGUUUCCUGUUUUCUCUGUUUUGUGGUUUAUUACUCCUACUUUCGCACUGUUAAUGAUAAUUGAUAAUGAUAAUCAAUUAAUUAAUUAAGAAUAAUAAUGAUAAUAAUUAUAAGAAUCGUACUGAAUCAUCAUACAUCCACCCGGUAAAUAGAGGUUCAAUCGUAGGCAUACCAAUCGACCAUUAUCGAAUCAUGACAAUAUUGACAAAUUGACAGAAUGUGCCUUUUUUAAGCUAGCUUCGCAUUCCACCCGUUCACUCUCCCUCUUUCUCUCUCUCUCUCUCUCUCUCUCUCUCUCUCUGUCAUUCUUUCUCUCUCUCCCUAAUUCACCCCUAUUUCUCCUCAGUACAACUUCUCCAUUUAUUAUCUCUCUUAUAUCACCCGCUUUUCGUUACUGUUCUGCUAAUUCCCUUUCCUGCUUCGUUACACGUUAAUUUCGUCCAGCUCGCAUUUCAGUUCGUGCGUAAUUUUUCGACAUACACCCCGCAACACGCAGCAAAAUCUUACACUCUCUCUCCUACUCGCAUUCUCUCUCACUCUACGUAAAUGUUUCUCCUGAUAUUUCAUAGUGUAUCUUUCGUAUGCUUUCUAACUCCCCGCCCAAUCUCUUUCUCAACCGCUACUUCGUCCUUUCUUCGUCGCUUCUAUCAUCCUCUGUUUAUCCUCAACGUUCGCGCGACGCAAUCAAAAAUUUCGACGUUCGCUACGAUUCCGCCUCUCCACGCCCCUUCUUCGUCGGCUCUCUCAUUUUUUCUUUCGUCAGUUCCCUAAGAUUAAGUCCACUAAGCAUCCCCUACCAUUGAUUAAAUGCUCGUCGCGACGAGAGAGGGCCGAACGUGGCUUUUCCCGAGGACCGUGCUCUUCCACCAUCGUUUACUCGCUUUUCGUCUCCCUAUAAACGUUCCACUGUUCCCCUGCUCUCUUCCCUCAACCCUUUUGUCCGUUCCUCUUGCACACGCACGCACGCGCCACAUCUCCCUCUCAUUCUUUCGUUCGAUCCGCACCGCACCUUUCCACGAAAAUUCUCGUCGAUCUCUCGCGUGGGCUAUAUCCUCUUCCGUUCAACCUCCCGCGCACCUGUCCUUUGCCCGUGUUUCUCUCUCCCCCCUGUACCCACCCCUGUACACCCCUGUUUCUCCCAGCGCUCAAGCCGUUUCGUCGGUUUAAAUCCCCUUCGUGUGCUCACCCUCUCGAGGAUCGUCCUUGCCUGGUCUACGCGGCUCUCGUCGCCUCCUUUCCUCCCUGUGCCCGUCGCACCCCCCCCGUUUUCCUUUGCUCCCCUUGCCUGGCCAGAGAGACGUUUUUUGUUCGUGGCAGUUUUACGUGGCUCAACAACGACCGAGAAAAGGACCGCACUUUUCGUCUGAAGGAGUAUCGCCACGCGGCAAUUGCGCGAUUGCAACGUCGGCACCGUGAAACCUACGCUUUUACCAUCCACUCUCUUUCCCUCGUUUCCGGUUACCCUGUGUGCUCGUAUCAUCGUUUCCUCGUCAGCGUCGAAGUUUCUCGUGACGAGCUCCGGCUCGAAUUCAAAGUACCUGCGUUGUCGGUUCGUUCGCGUCACCAAGCGAGCAGACCAAGUGUACCGGCACGUUAGAACCGUUUCUUGCCUCGUUAGAGUAUUCAGAAACGACGCUGUCGAUAUGGCUGGUUACUCUUUGGUGACAAAGGUCGCUCUUAGGUUACCUUGUUCGCGUGUAUUGAGAGAGAUCUUUGGGAUCUCUGGUUGUCAAGAACUAUGUUCGAGUUUGGGAUAUACGUAUAUAUUAAGAUCUUGGAAAUUUCGAGCUGAAAGGAACCGAUGAUUAUUCUAAACGAAGGGGUUCGAUCGUUCGACGUAAGGAAAAAUCGACGUUACGCGAGUGCAUGGACGAUCCUCGAGUUACAAAUCAGGUCGAUGUACAGACAUCACCACAGGGUCGAGCGCAACAGGAGACAACACUCACGCUCUCUCCUUCACUCCGUUAUUCUUCGUGUAUUUUUUUUUUCCUUUAUUCGAAAUGUCUUUUGUUGUUUUUUGUCUGUUUCAUUGUAACAUUUUUUUACUUUUUUGGUAUCUUGUUUUCUCUGAAAAAGAAAUGCCCAUUUCGCACAUAACGAACACGUUAACGGCGACGUGUGUUGGGUCAUUAAAAAGGUUCUGGUCUCGAUCCCCUUUUUUCAUUUUUUGUUCUUUUUCGUUUAUCCCUCCUCUGUCAUCGUUACUCUUCCUUCCGCCGACGAUCUCCGUCGUAUUUUCGAUUUUCUUGUUUUUUAUUUUUUUGUCGUUAAAUAGUAAUCAUCUAAACAAUGAAAGCGGCAAAACGUCUCGAGGAAAAAGGUGUCCCUGAGCGCGACGGAGGGAGACGACGACGACACAAUGCUUCUUUGGGAGGGAGAAAAAAAGACCGUUCGUCGCCCUUCGUCGUCUUCGUCCCUUUUACGCCCACGAUUAUUUAGUCGCACCUGCACAGGACUGCGUGACACGUCCAGCGUACAAGUACAAAGGAUUAACUACAAUACGCUCGAUGAUUCCGGUUAUGAUGAUUUCUUUCGUUAUUUCUUUUUUUCUAUUUUUUCGCAGCUUGUUACUUGUUUCGUAUCCUAUCGUUCAUUUUCGUUCUUACUCUUCUUUUUGUUUAAUUUCGUUUCUGGUUCUUUCUUUUAUCUUUUAUCCAUUAGCUUUGUUUAUUUAUUGGUCGGGAGUAAUUAUAAUUAUAUCGUACGCAAACAUGAGAUAUCUCUGGACGGGUCGGAUCUGUCCUGUGCAGAUAUUCGUAAAAAGAGGGACGCUCUUCUCAAAAAGUUGCAUCAUUUGUGAAAUCGCAUCAACUAAGUUCCUAUGUUCUUUAAAUCCUUAUUACAAGUACGGUAGUAAUAAUAGUAGAAGUAAUAGCAGCAGCAGCAGUAGUAGUAGUAGUAGUAGUAGUAGUAGUAGUAGUAGCAUAGUAGUAGUAGUAGUAGUAGUAGUAGUAGUAGUAGUAGUAGUAGUAGUAGUAGAGUAGUAGUAGUAGUAGUAGUAGUAGAGUAGUAGUAGUAGUAGUAGUAGUAGUAGUAGUAUUAAUAGUAGGUUUUUCUUCACUUUUUUUUAUUCGUUUUUAUGUUUAAGCAUUUUUUUAUCCUUUAGUUUUUCUGGUUCUGAUAAUCUAAUAGACAUCUAAAAAUAACACCCAUUUUUUUCAUUAUUAUUUCAUAUUUGUAUUUUUCCUCCUUAUCUCAUCUCUUUUUUUAUUUUUAUUCUUAGUUAUCGAUCAAGUAUUACUUAAAGAUUCCUUAAACGUUAGAUUGAGGGCCGCGCAACACGUACAGUGAGCUCAAGCGUUUCGCGAUUUAAUUCGCUGAUUUCCUUCUUUUUUUAGGAGGGGAGAGGGGAGGCGGGGCGUGUGUGUGUGUGUGUAUAUGUAUGUGUUUAUGCGAGAAAAGAUCACCCAGUCACCUCGAUGAUUUUCGUUCGAUCCUCAUCUUCAUCGAUCCCGGAUUAAUCGAUCGAUCGUGUCAGGUGUCACGUGUACGAAAUUUCGUACGAUCCGAUUAAAUCGUAUGACACGUGUCGCUAAUUAUUUAUAACGCACGAAUCCGGCAAGAAUUCGAACGAAUCGCUCGAAACGACACCGAGGUGAGAUCGAAUAAAAGUUCGCGACACCCUUGAGCUCAGAAUGAACCGCAGCUUUUGCAUAUCGUCGUUUGAAUUAUACAUCUUACAUAUAUUUCUAGCGGCUGGAGUAACAAGUUUGUUGCAUUAUUUCUUGUCGUUCGUUUCGUCAGUUCAAUACUGCAUCAAUUCAUAUUGCUGCUGUUGUGAUCUGUGCCCAAACCGUCAUUCGCGAUAAACCAUUCACGCUAAUUACGCUACGCUCCACCGCCCUAACUUUGUCUCUAUAUCCCUUUCAUAGCAAUCUACGUUCCUCACAUACGCGCCUGAGGCAAUUCUUCCUAUACGUUGGUGCAUCGAUCUUUCUUGUUACGACCUCCCGCCCCCUCGUUCCAACCGCCAACCCUCUCUUGAAAACUCGAAAAUUUCCUCCACCAUCUCUGUUCUUUCUCUCUUUGCCCUUUCUCCCUCUAGCAUUGAUCCUCCCCGGUUUCUCUGCUUCCCGUAUUUCCCCUCUCUCGUGUUAAUUUUAAUAUCACAUUUUCUUGGGAACAGACUGGCCCGAUAUAUCUUUGAAACAGAAUCUGGUGAUCGCUGGCUAUUUCAAUCAAUGUUCUGCUUUUUCUUCGUUUUCUUAUCUUCCUUCUUUUGGUGCCAGGCGUUCGACGUUGUAACGAUCGAAAUUAGAUGGCGAACAGUUGACUGCAAGCUUCAUAGAUUUGUUAAUUUGCAAAUUCAUGGUACGUAAUAUUUAACGCUAACUUUGGUGGAAUUAUUGAAGAACGAGGAAUAUAGUUCGGAAAAUAAUUAUAAAGCUGAAGCUCAAGGAUGAUUUAGAAACACGCGAGCGUCACGUUCAGUUAUCAGGAAAUCAACAUCGAUGAAACAUCGUCGACACAUUGUCGGUUAUGCCCAUUUCGUGAUUCUUGUCUUUCUUGGUUUUUCUCUGAUUUUCAUCGAUUUUGACGGGUAAAAAUAAAUCACAAUACAUCGGGCGAGUACGUCCCAGUUUAAUAUAUAGAAUACAUACAUCUUUAUCUCGCUACAAGGUACUACGAACCCAGAUCAAAAAACGAUAAGAUCCAUCGUUUUUCUUCAUUUUUUUUUCUUUUUUGUGUUUUUUAUUUUGUUUUCUUAUUUAUUUCAUGUGUAUGUGUGUUUCUUCGUAAGAGAUAUUUUACGGCACGUACAACGACUGGAUGGCAACGACGAAACGAAAAUAAAAGUUCACGAACGCGUGGAAAGACUGUGAGAAAAAAUAAGUGGAAAAGAGUAUAAUUAGAGAAGGAAACAAAAAAAAAAGAAAGAAAGAAAUAAAAUAAAAAGAGAAAAGAAAAAAA